rnacentral:lncRNA from 1 species
AAGCCGCUCUGCUGAGCCUCGCCUCGAUUACUUGUUGGUGUGUCUGGAGAGAACGAAAUGCGAGAAUUUUUUAUUUUGAAGCAAAGAUAGCUAUAAAGAUUGCUGAACAGAGAGCCUUUUUCUACACUAGUUGGACAUCUGAAUUCCCAAAUGAAAAGUUGCAGCUAAUAUCAGCCCAGUUAGCUCACCUGAAAGUUAAAUGCUGGUAGUUAAAAGCCUACGAAGGAGA